rnacentral:lncRNA from 1 species
AUCUGUGUGUUAGACAAGAGUGUGAUGAUGUGCAAGGUGGCCCAAGAAAGGCUCAGAACCAAAAUUUAUCCUUUCUUACUUUUCUUAACCAAAACUUUUACUCCUAAUUUCUCAAUGAAUCCCUUUGCCUAUACUAAUAUUACCUGCUUUCAAUAACUUUUGUUCUUGUGUUUAUACCAAUAUUGGGUCUUCAUCCAUAAAGAGUUCAUAUUCGAGGGUGUUGCUGUUUAAACAUUGCCAGAAUCUUUGAUACCUUUCAUUAGUUUUUGGAUUGAUAAAAAGACUAGAGGAAAUCUGUGAGAGAAAAGCACACCUCUCACAAAUCAAAUAAGGAAAAAUCCAAGUAGUAUCCACAUAAAUCAACACUCCUUAAUGGGAGUUUGAUAUUCAACAUUCUUAAUGACCUGUUGCCAAGGUUCUCCUUUCAUUAUCUCCUUCCACAAACUCUGAGCUUUGGAUAUAAUAGAUUCUUUGCAAUAUUUUGAUUCUUUAUCCAUUUUCACACAACUGUGUGUUUGCUCAUGUCACUCUUUCAGUUUGGAAUCAUCAGCCUUUCAAGUCCUAUUUAUCCUUUAAGUCUUUCCUCAAUAAAUGCUAUCUUUUCUAUAAAGACUUCUCUUCCAAAUAAAUGUGUCUUUCCUCUGUACCUCCCAUAAUUUUAUUAUAUAUCAUCUUUUUAUUGUAUUGUUAUAGUUGUUUUUCACUUCUUGCUCACUGAGUCAAAAAUUUCUCUAUUAACCUUUGUAUUUUCUGUAGUAAUUAGAACAAGUUUCUUGAAAUAAUCAGCUUUAACAACAUUUAUUGAAUGAGUAAGCCACAUCUCAAAUGUCUGAGAGAUGGAUUCGGUGGGUGUUUGACACACAAGUGGUUGAGGACAUGUAAUUUAUGUAGCAUUUCCUAGGGGUCAGCAACCUUGCCAGCAGCAUGCCAACUCAUCUGAAAUUGGUCCAUCUGAAGAGAGUUUGCUUUUCCUCACGACAAGUUGGAGGCAUUGCUCCACAAUCAUUCUCUGAAGGGAGAGUCUACAUCUUUGAGACGGUCUGGAGUUUGACUUCCUGAAUGGGCAGUUGCAUUCCCUGGUCACUCAGAGAAGAAUAGCUUCUUUGGCGCCAUCAUUCAGCUCAAAGGGUCUGAAGAGUAUAGAGUGUUUCAAAAUCUUCAAUUUUCAGCAAGCUCCUUCUGAAGUAAACAUCUUUUGGUGAAGUGUGCAUUACCACAUUUUAUUGAUCCAUUUUCCCAAUGAUGGUCAUCUGGAUUGCCAACAAUAUCCUGCGACAAGCGUCUUUAUAGAAGUAGCCUUAUGGAUGUGUGGCAAUUUCCUGGGAUACGUACAUGUGAGUAGGAUAGCUGGGCUAUAAGUUGUAUGCAUUGACUUGACUAAGCA